CUUCACCGACCCCAGCCACAGCGGCUGUUCGCGCUCCUGGCCGUACGUGGCCAGCAGCGCCUGCGCCUC
rfam:Streptomyces bingchenggensis BCW-1, complete genome.